UUUUUGUUUUUCUUUCCAGCAGGAAACAGCUUUUGGAGCUUCUUUGCUAUCAAAAGAAGGAUUCAAAGAACCAGCCACCCCAAUCUGAUCUCCUGUACCAGUCAAUCAGAGCUGAUCCUGAGCAGCUGGAAGAGAAAGAUUCAGGUGUUGGCACUUACAGUUCCUGUGUGCUGAUGGACUACUUCUGCCCAGCUGCAGGCAGUGUUUUUGUGAGUUCUUCAGGUGGCCCUUAUAUUUUUGUUUCUGUGUCAGCUAAUAGAACAAAUUCUUCUGCAGAAGCUUGGAUAGGUUGAAGCUACACUGAAGAGUUCCUAGCUGGAAGUUUCGUAAAGAACUGUUUCCUAUGGUUUAUGGUGUAUGGUUUGUAUAAGGAAAUACCAACUGAAUGCCUGCACAAAAACAAGCUGUCUUCCCAUCUGCUAGUAAGGAGUGAGGGAAGCCAUUUUGAAGAUAAUUGUUGAAACUGCAGAACUUUUAAAUGUUUCUGGUCAGUCUUAUAUGUUUUAUACAAACAAGAGGAUUUGCAGAGAGAAGUGGACUACAGCAUAGAAUCCACUGCAUUGUACUUUCGCAGUAGCCAAGUGUUCUCUUCUAUAGGCUAGUUAUAGAAAAUGGAUAAGAAAAAUAUAUAGGAUUUAAAGGUUCAGUUGGCAAAAAGUUUAUUAGUGGUCAGCUGUUCUGGUAGUUUGACACUGAACCUGAAUUUUUUUCUAUAUACAUAUCAGGCUUAUUAGCAGUAUUUUUACAAUGGACUUUGAUAUUUAGGAUAUUGAUCAAUAAUUUUUUCUUCCAUGCUUUUAAGACUUGGAGUAAUAAAGGGAGAGUCGAUGCUAGAAGGGAGUUUAGGACCAAGUGUAUGAAAGUACUUAAUUCCUUGGAAUGACUAUAGAGCUGCAAUUUCUGAGUCUUCUGAGAUGCUGCAUUUGGGAAAAAAUAUUCUAUCUCUGAUAUUUACUUUAAAAAUAUGUUCCACUGACAUUCACCAGUAAAGAUCUGUGCACUGAAACAAAAGCAAACCGUGCUAUCUGCCGUUUUAACUCUCGGACUCUGUCUGUUUAAGAGGAGAGUGUAAGAGAGAUUGAUUUGAAUCAAAGACAAAUAUUUAAAUGGCAUCCUGAAAGGAAAACCUUUAGCAGCUUAUUUUUCAAUGCUGAGACAUCUUAAAUAAGCAAACUCCACAGUACACAAAUAAACCAAAUUACAACAGCAUGCUACUGAUUUUAUUGCUGCUGUUGAUGCUUUCCUGUUCCCAGUGCUCAGCUCACAUUUCUUCUAGUGGUUCCUCUCUGACUUCUUGCAUUGCUAUGGAGUGGAGAUAAAAAGAAAGCAGGUAUUGAUGUGUAUCCGCUGAAUAUAUCAGGUAUAUCUCAGUGCUGUAGAAGAAUGUGCUUCACAGAUGCGUGUUAUGUUAGCUUCACCUUCAGAAUGAAUUCUGUAUAAUUUAAUGCAAUUUUAAAACAAGACCUGGAGAAUUCAUCUGAAGAAAUUUUAUGUCUGAUAUCAAAAACUUCAUUUCUUUUCCAGUAGUAGCUAUUAUUGCUACUAUUUAAAACAUAACCAGGCAAGGCCUAGAAUUGUACUUUUACACCAUUAUGGAUAUCUCUGUAGUCAUUUGUGUUUAUAGGGUCAAUUCUCUGCCAAGAGUAUGAAGUGCUGCUUAGAACUUGUUAUCUCCAUAGUACAGUAGCUUCUGCUUAACUUGAA